AUGCUUCCCCCGCUCUGUGACCCAUCAAAACAGGCGCCUUUUACCCCCAAAUCAGGCGGAAAAAUCCCUCCCCAACCCCGGCCGGGGCGAAGGGCUGUGCCUGCAGCUAGGACAGAACAUCCGGGAGGGCAUUUGUUUGGAUCACAUGGGCGAGAGUAUAAAAAUGGGUCCUGCCUGUCCGGGCCAGUUUGCACCUGGAAAGGGAAGGAGCCGCUGGAGCGAAGGGAAGAAACGCGGGACAGAGCGGGGCCGCUGCGCUCAGGUAACCACGCCUGGAGCAAAUUAUCCCCCUUUUUCCCCAGGGAGCGGCCAUGGGGCAUGGAAAGGGUGAGGGUUUCUCCGCCGGGAAUUCGUGGUGGAACGCAAAGGCUCCGAGGGCUGGGAAAUGGGGGAAUUUUGCGGAUCCCGGCCCAGGAACAGCUCCAAGCGCCCCCCGAGGGUUUUCCCAGCGCCUGGGGGCGAUGCAGCCUCUCCGAAGCGGGCGGCAUUCGCAGCUCCUCCUUCCCUCUUGGGGACCCCUUGGAGCUGUCGAGAAUUGGGGUGCGGGACCUGUGGGGUGCCUCGGUGGCUCGCAGGGCGGCGAGGAGGCUGCUGAGGCAGAGCCAUGUGCGAGGAGACACCGAGAUGUGCAGGCAAAGAGCUUUCCAGCGUGGAAUUUCGCCCCUCUCUGGCACGGGAGCGGCGCGGAUAAAGCCGGCCGCUCCUCCCUGCAUCACUCGGGGCUCUUGGUGGUCCCUGGGCAUCAGCACGGCCAACACGGAGCUCUGGUCUCACGUCCCUGCCUCAACGCCCUGCGGCCGCAGCUUCCUUCGCCCUUGGGGCUGGAAGUGGCUUUGGGGAGCCGGGAGGUGUUUCACAAACCAGGGGUGAGGAAAGGGAGAGAUCCUCCUGCCCCGGGGCUCCUGGAAAGUGGCUUUGGGGAGCCGGGAGGUGUUUCACAAGCCAGGGGUGAGGAAAGAGCGAGAUCCUCCAGCCCCGGGGCUCCUGCCUGCUCCUGGUGCUGUCAGCCCCAUGUCCCUCUUCCUGCUGUUCCCUCCCUGCCUCUCCCCGCUGCGAUCUCCAGAAGUUUUCUCCCCACUUAACGCUGCUGCUUCUCCUUCUCUGCUCUCCAUCCCUGCUUGGAGACAGUUGCUUAGAGACAAACUCCCGUUUUUUUGAUGUUGUAAUCCUUUUUUUUUUUUUUUAAUGGGGGAACAGUGGGUGCAAAGGCAGACGAUGGCACCGUGGGUUGGGAGCAGAGUGGGGAGGAGAGUCCAGGAAAGAUCUGACACCACAGGAAAAGGUCUAAACCAAGCAAAACCAGCGUUUUUCCCUCAUUAGGAAAUACCCAAGCCCCUUCACGCUCCGUGCCCAGAAACAAGUCCCAGGAGGGUCCCACUGCCUCCCUUCUCACCCCAGGCCCCCACCCAGGUGCGGCAUGAGAAUGAAUUCCUUGGCUGGGGGUGGCUUGGAGGGUUAUUUUCCUCUUCUGACGAAGAGCCCAGGCUGGUUGGCAGCAUUAUCCGCCUAUUUUCUGCACAGCUCUCCGUAGCAAGAGAAACCAGGAGAAAAAGGGAAACAGAGAAGCCACAGGAUGCACCGUUAUAAGAGGAACUUUCCCCAAAAUAGAAGCUUUUCACAGUUUUUUCACGAGGCGUCAGCAGCUCUUAAUGCUGUAUGAAACUGUGAAUCCUGCCUGGAGCAGCCGGCGGGAGCUUGUCAGUGCUCCAGGCUGCAGCUGCAGCCUUUCCGAGGGUGUGGGGCCGGCUGUGCCCCCCAAAACCUUCCUGGGGUGUGGGGAACAAGCAGCUGGAAGCGCAGCCUCGGCUGUGAUUACGUUCCAGCAGCAUUUCCUGCACCCCUCGGGGUGAUAAAUCCAGUGUACCCCCAG
rnacentral:lncRNA from 1 species